UUUCUUACUAUUGCAUUUGAGGGUAAGAGCUGCUUUUUCCAUUCAAAAAUCUUCCAUGCAUACUAUUUUCUAUACAACGUAAGGAACCUCUAGAAAAUACAUGACGAUCGAUAAGAUGUUAACCCAGUAGGUAGUAUUUUUGAGUGUGGCUAUCCCAUGUUUAAAAUUCAAGCCUCUGAUUAUGAAAA